CCUACGGGAGGCAGCAGUGGGGAAUCUUGGGCAAUGGAGGCAACUCUGACCCAGCAACGCCGCGUGAAUGAUGAAGGUUUUCGGAUUGUAAAGCUCUUUUCUAAGGGAAGAAGAAAGUGACGGUACCUUAGGAAUAAGCCUCGGCUAAUUACGUGCCAGCAGCCGCGGAAAUACGUAGGAGGCAAGCGUUAUCCGGAGUGAUUGGGCGUAAAGGGAGCGUUGGUGGUUUGACAAGUUAGUAGCGCAACUCCGGGGCUCAACGUCGGAACUACUACUGAAACUGUUGGACUUGAGUGCAGGAGGGGAGAUCGGAAUGCCUAGUGUAGCGGUGGAAUGCGUAGAUAUUAGGAGGAACACCAGUGGCGAAGGCGGAUUGCUGGACUGUAACUGACGCUGAGGCACGAAAGCGUGGGGAGCAAACAGGAUUAGAUACCCUGGUAGUC
rnacentral:rRNA from 1 species